rnacentral:rRNA from 1 species
AGGAUGAACGCUGGCGGUCUGCUUAACACAUGCAAGUCGAACGGAAUCCUUAUGGAUUUAGUGGCGGACGGGUGAGUAACACGUAAGAACCUGCCUCUAGGACGGGGACAACAGUUGGAAACGACUGCUAAACCCGGAUGAGCCGAAAGGUAAAAGAUUUAUCGCCUAGAGAGGGGCUUGCGUCUGAUUAGCUAGUUGGUAAGGUAAAGGCUUACCAAGGCGACGAUCAGUAGCUGGUCUGAGAGGAUGAUCAGCCACACUGGGACUGAGACACGGCCCAGACUCCUACGGGAGGCAGCAGUGGGGAAUUUUCCGCAAUGGGCGAAAGCCUGACGGAGCAAGACCGCGUGGGGGAGGAAGGUUCUUGGAUUGUCAACCCCUUUUCUCAGGGAAGAACGCAAUGACGGUACCUGAGGAAAAAGCAUCGGCUAACUCCGUGCCAGCAGCCGCGGUAAUACGGGGGAUGCAAGCGUUAUCCGGAAUGAUUGGGCGUAAAGAGUCCGUAGGUAGCCAAUCAAGUCUGCUGUUAAAGAGCGAGGCCUAACCUCGUAAAGUCAGUGGAAACUGGAAGGCUAGAGUGUAGUAGGGGCAGAGGGAAUUCCUGGUGUAGCGGUGAAAUGCGUAGAGAUCAGGAAGAACACCGGUGGCGAAGGCGCUCUGCUGGGCUAUAACUGACACUGAGGGACGAAAGCUAGGGGAGCGAAUGGGAUUAGAUACCCCAGUAGUCCUAGCGGUAAACGAUGGAGACUAGGUGUGGCCUGUAUCGACCCGGGCCGUGCCGAAGCUAACGCGUUAAGUUUCCCGCCUGGGGAGUACGCACGCAAGUGUGAAACUCAAAGGAAUUGACGGGGGCCCGCACAAGCGGUGGAGUAUGUGGUUUAAUUCGAUGCAACGCGAAGAACCUUACCAGGACUUGACAUCUCUGGAAUCCUUCUGAAAGGUGGGAGUGCCGUAAGGAACCAGAAGACAGGUGCUGCAUGGCUGUCGUCAGCUCGUGUCGUGAGAUGUUGGGUUAAGUCCCGCAACGAGCGCAACCCUCGUCGUUAGUUGCCAUCAUUAAGUUGGGAACUCUAGCGAGACUGCCGGUGACAAACCGGAGGAAGGUGAGGAUGACGUCAAGUCAGCAUGGCCCUUACGUCCUGGGCGACACACGUACUACAAUGCGAGGGACAAAGAGCAGCCAACCCGCGAGGGAGAGCGAACCUCUUAAACCCUGGCACAGUUCAGAU